GUUAAGUGGUUAUAAGUAAAAGAUAAGCCAAAAGUCAUAAGUUGGUCUCCUCCGACUUAUUAAAUUUCAAUUUAUAAGUACUUUAGGUUUGACCAAAAUAUUUACUAUUUUAUCCUUAAAAUACUUCUUUUUAAAACAAAAUUCUUCAGUUUUGAGCUGUUUAUUAUUAAUUUCAAUAUUUUUAUUCAAAUAUGUAAUUGCUUA
rnacentral:lncRNA from 1 species